rnacentral:snRNA from 1 species
GUGCUCGCUUCAGCAGCACAUAUACUGAAAUUGGAACCAUACAGAGAAGAUUAGCAUGGCCCCCGCACAAGGACGAUACACAAAUUCGUGAAGCGCUCCGUAUUUUU